AGUGAACGCUGGCGGUAGGCCUAACACAUGCAAGUCGAACGGCAGCACAGUAAGAGCUUGCUCUUACGGGUGGCGAGUGGCGGACGGGUGAGGAAUACAUCGGAAUCUACUUUUUCGUGGGGGAUAACGUAGGGAAACUUACGCUAAUACCGCAUACGACCUACGGGUGAAAGCAGGGGAUCUUCGGACCUUGCGCGAGUGAAUGAGCCGAUGUCGGAUUAGCUAGUUGGCGGGGUAAAGGCCCACCAAGGCGACGAUCCGUAGCUGGUCUGAGAGGAUGAUCAGCCACACUGGAACUGAGACACGGUCCAGACUCCUACGGGAGGCAGCAGUGGGGAAUAUUGGACAAUGGGCGCAAGCCUGAUCCAGCCAUACCGCGUGGGUGAAGAAGGCCUUCGGGUUGUAAAGCCCUUUUGUUGGGAAAGAAAAGCAGCAGGUUAAUACCCCGCUGUUCUGACGUUACCCAAAGAAUAAGCACCGGCUAACUUCGUG
rnacentral:rRNA from 1 species